GGGAAGUGCUGCGCAGACUGCACUAUCGACUGGAGAAGAGCGCGAUGCAGAGUGAAAAUUAACCGCCAGUUAGUAGCGACAGGAAGCCAGGAAAGGAAGCCAUUUUGUGAUAACAAUUUGAAUUUGAAAAGAAGUUAUUAAUUGUUAGGCAGUUUAAGUUUAGUGUAGCAGUUUGUGUUUAACUUGAUUGUAAGUAUUGCGACUGGGAGUUUGAAGCAUACUUGGCUAUAAAUCUAUAAUGUCAAACUUACAGGUUAACACAUUAGGAGAAAACUUUGGAAACUGUCUAAACGAAAAUCCAGGAAACAAUAUUGAAGAAGAUUUGUUGAUGUAAAUUUAGAGGAGGAAAACUAGAAUGUAAGUUCAAUAUCAUUUGAUAUUUAUUAUGUAUAUAGUAAUUUUAUAUUUUCUAAAUAUAGCUUUGAAGCAACUCUACCAUCAGAAACAAACGAGUUUGACUAGAAGAAUCCUUCCCACAUCAACAAUCUUCAAAGAUUCUAUUUGCAACGUGAAAAUGUCGCGCAAAAUAAAACAACCAGCUCAAACGGAAGUUUUCAGUUGCGUAAUCUGCCCUCUUCCGGAUAGUCGGGAAGAUAUGAUGCAAUGCCGGAACUGCUUAGCCUGGGUUCAUUAUGCCUGUGGAGGUGCUGCAAAUGAGGCGGAAGCAAAGAAACUCGACUAUGUGUGUCCUAAAUGUCUAGCGGAGAAGCGCUCGGAUACAAGAUCACUCAAAAAAGGAACUUCGACAACAAGCCGACGAUCGGAAGCGCUAGCUCUGAAACUGCAGCAGUUAGAAGAAGAAAAGCAGCUGCGGGAUCAACAAAAUCAGGCAAAGCGGAAACUACAGGAGAAACGCCGGACGCUACUGGAAGAGGAGGAGCAGUUACAGAAGGAAGAGGAUCGUGAAGCUUUGGAAUAUCUGCAGAGCAAGCAUUCUUUGGAGCAGCAAUUGGAGGAACAAUCCAGCAAUGCUAGUCGAAUAAGCGUUCGUAGUCUGGAAAGCCGAAGCAAAGUUGAGGAUUGGUUGAAGGAAAACGAUAGUGUGUGUGAUGUCGACCCAGUUCAGGAGAAGCUGGUGGCUGCCACAAUGUUGGAAAACCAAAUUCAAUCCAUCAAAAUUGCGCAAAUUGAGAAACAGUUUCAAACUAACGUAUGCUUCCAAAAUUCUGCCGAAAAUACAAGUUGCGCUUCUAACUAUUAUACGCUUCCUACUAACGGACUUGUAAACCCAACCGGAAAGUCAACCCCAAAAUUGAACGUGCAAAGGAAAACAGAUUUUCGACUAGCGCAAGAAGCAAGUGAAGGGGUGAUUCCUUUUGAGCCCACCGUACCGAAACGUGAGGACUAUGGAAUUCUCAGUACAAGUCGUGAGUCACUAAAAACCACUUUUAUGGAAAUCCCGCCGAUUCGUGGGUGUGAAACUCUUCCAAGAGAAUUGUACACAAAACCAACAAGAAAUAUGCUUUUGCCGGAGCAAAUUGCAGCCCGACAAGUUAUGCCUAAGGAUCUGCCGUUAUUUUGGGGUAACGCUGAGGAAUGGCCUAUCUUUUACAAUCAUUAUGUAAUGACGACUGAAGUAUGCGGAUAUACAGACGUUGAAAACUUAGCAAGGCUGCAAAGAAGCUUGAAAGGCAUCGCUCUGGAUUCGGUUCGUAGUCUCCUACUGUCUCCUUCAUCAGUACCGUCCAUCAUCAGCUCCCUACAGAUACUAUUCGGUAAGCCAGAACUAAUUCUUUACUCAUUAAUUAAGAAAGUUCGUGAUACGCCGGCACCCAAACCCGAAAGGUUAGAUAUGCUGAUCACCUUUGGCAUGGCAGUCAAAAAUAUGUGCGCUCACAUGAUUGCCACGGAACAAGGCGAUCAUCUUUCAAACCCAUUAUUGCUACAGGAACUCAUUGAUAAACUACCAGUUGCCAACAAAAUGGAUUGGGCACGUUAUCGUUCAGGUCUGUCGACAGUGAAUCUGAAUGACUUUGGGAAAUUCAUGGAACGAACAGUAAUGGAAGCAAGCUCGGUUGUUUUGCACGUAGUGCCAGAAUCCAGGGGAUCUAAAUCCGAAUCAAAACAGCGUGAUAGAAUGUUUGUGAACUUCCAUGAAACUUCUCUGACCCAAUCACGAGAUAGUGAGUCGAUGGUAGGAGAUUAUGAUGAUAGUAUUUGCACACAAUGUCAGAACGGGGAGCAUGAAGCAGAUGCUUGUGAUUGGUUCAAACUCUUACCAGUCGACGAACGAUGGAAAGUGGUUCAUAAAUUGAAGUGGUGCCGAACGUGCUUUGGACAGCAUGGCAAAAUUGAUGGAAAAUGGUUAUGCCCUAGCAAACGACGAUGUAACCAAAACGGAUGCCAGAAACUACAUCAUAAGCUUCUACACAAUACUACUAAACAGCAGCAGACGAACGUGGUGGCACCAGGUACACAAGCGGUGUUAAACCAUCAUUCAGUACAGAUGCCUACGUUGUUUAGGAUCGUUCCCGUGACUGUUCAUGGUAAAAAUAGGUCUAUCAAGACGUUCGCUAUGUUGGAUGAAGGUUCGGCUGUAACGUUAAUGGACAACGCACUUUUCGAGGAAUUGGGAACAAUUGGCGUCGCCGACCCAUUAUGCUUAUUAUGGACAGAUAAUGUAUCGCGCAUCGAAGCUAAAUCUCGUCGAGCAGAAUUGAAAAUCUCCGGUCAAGAUGGGCAUAAGUAUCCGAUGUUAAAUGUCCAUUCAGUUUCAAAACUUGUCCUUCCACAGCAAUCCUUAAAGGUCCGUGAAUUGUUCGACAAAUUUCCACAUUUGCGAUGUGUGCCUGUUGAAGACUAUUCAAAAAUCAUUCCACGAAUUUUAAUCGGAAUUGACAACGUUCAUCUGUUGGUUCCUAUGAAAGCAGUUGAAGGAAACACGUUAAGCCAACCAAUAGCUGUUUUGUCACGAUUAGGUUGGUCGAUUUAUGGAGGCUGCCCAGGAGGAAACACGGUUGUCAACGUCCAUUUGGUUAAACAAUGUAACUGCAAUCAAGGAGAAAGUCUUCAUGAAUUGGUUAAGCAGUAUUUUAAGGUAGAGUCAACUGGUAUCGGAAUCGAAAUCCCAGAGUCUGAAGAGGAUAAGCGGGCUCGUUCUAUUCUGGAGAAAACUACACGUCGUGUUGAUGGCGCAUUCGAGACCGGACUUUUAUGGCGGUAUGAGGACUUCGUUUUUCCUUCCAGUUUCAAAAUGGCACUUUGUAGGCUUAAAUGUCUGGAAAGAAAAUUGAAAAAGGAUGAUAACUUGUACGAUGCUGUUAGGAAACAGAUACAGGAAUACCAGAUUAAAGGAUACGCACAUAAAGCAACUCUAGCCGAACUCCAGAAUACUGACUCGAAGAGAAUUUGGUAUCUACCACUUGGAGUCGUGGUUCAUCCUAGAAAGCCCGGAAAAGUUCGCCUUAUUUGGGACGCUUCAGCAGAGGUUGACGGCAUCAGUCUGAAUUCGAUGUUACUAAAAGGACCUGAUCUUCUUACGUCGUUGACAACAGUUUUGAGCAAUUUUCGGCAACAUAGAGUGGCAAUCGUUGGUGACAUCGAACAGAUGUUUCACCGAAUAAGGAUUUGUGACGCGGAUAAGCAAGCCCAACGAUUCGUAUGGAGAGAUCAGCCGUUCGAGGACGUAACUGUGUUUGUGAUGGACGUUGCAACUUUUGGGUCCACUUGUUCCCCCUGUUCGGCACAAUUUGUGAAGAAUCGGAAUGCGGAGGACUUUGCAAGUUUGUACCCCAAAGCGGCAUUAGCUAUUCAAAAUGGACAUUAUGUGGACGACUGUCUUGUGAGCUGCGAUACGGUUGAGGAGGCUAUACAAUUGGCACUGCAAAUAAAGGAAAUCCAUGCAGCAGCUGGAUUUAAUAUAAGAAACUGGAUUUCCAAUCGACCCGAAGUGCUUCGUGGCAUUGGUGAAGAAAUCACUUUGGAGCAGAAGAGCCUUCAAAUUGAAAAGAUCGGCACACCGUCUAAUAUUGAACGAGUUCUUGGUAUGGUUUGGCUACCUUCUGAAGAUCAUUUCACAUUUUCCAAGGUUCUCCGACCUGAACUGAAUGAAUUUAUGAUGACCAACAAAGUACCAACGAAGCGACAGGUUUUACAAUGCGUUAUGAGCGUUUUUGAUCCGCUGGGACUCGUGUCGUUCUUUGUAGUCCACGGGAAAAUUCUUAUUCAAGAUAUCUGGAGAAGUCGGAUUGGUUGGGACGAAGCGAUACCAGAUGAAAUUUUCCAACGAUGGAUGGAUUGGACCCGUCUGUUUGGUCAGCUGGACAACGUCAAAGUGAAUCGUUGUUAUUUUCCUGUAAGAAACCAAAACACUGAAAUUGAAUUACACGUUUUUACCGAUGCCAGCGAACAAGCGUAUGCAGCGGUUGCUUAUUUUCGUGCGGUUGUAAAUGGCAAGGUGUAUUUAGCGUUGGUGUCCGGAAAAACCAAAGUGGCACCGUUAAAUUCGUUGUCUAUUCCUCGUGGUGAACUAGAAGCUGCCUUACUGGGUACCAGGUUAUCAAAAACUAUAGUUUCGAGUCAUAGUUGGAUUAUUUCAAAAAGAGUUUUUUGGACAGAUUCUUAUACAGUCCUUGCUUGGAUUCGAUCGGACAGCCGGAAGUACAGACAGUUCGUUUCAUUUCGAAUUGGCGAAAUUUUAAAUAAGUCUGAAGUCGAGGAAUGGCGAUGGGUCCCAUCCAAACUCAAUAUUGCGGAUGACGCGACAAAGUGGGGUAAAGGACCAUCAUUCGAUCACGAAAGCCGUUGGUUUAAAGGACCAGAUUUUCUUAUGGAACCUGAACAAAAUUGGCCUAAGUCGAAAGUUGAAAUAGCUGGUACGGAAGAAGAACUUCGUUCGUGCUUAAUUCACCAACUACCUAGGGAUGAGAUGAUAGUUUGGACCAAUUUUUCUAAAUGGGAACGUUUGCACCGCACUGUGGGAUACGUGCAUAGAUAUGUUGAGAAUUUCGUGCGAACGUGUCAAAAAAUCACUCCAUUGAACUGUCCUCUAACGAACGAAGAAUUAAGAUCAGCGGAAGUAACAAUAUGGACAUGGGUACAACGAAGUAAAUUUCCUGAUGAAUUAACUGUGCUGACCCGUAACCGCGAUGGAUUUCCAUUUCAAAGAAUUGAAAAAUCAAGCCCGCUAUACAGACUUUCUCCAAUAGUGGACAAUACAGGUGUGUUGCGUUUGGAAGGACGAAUGGAUGCGGGACCGUCUUUAUCUGAAGAUUUUAAAAGGCCUAUUAUAUUGCCCAAGGACCAUAGGGUAACGUCACUACUAUUGGAUUGGUACCAUCGUCGUUAUUUACAUGCGAACCGAGAAACAAUUGUGAAUGAAGUAAGGCAGCGUUUUCACAUUAUAAGUUUACGAGCAGCAUUGGAUAGAGUGAUUCGUGAUUGUAUGUGGUGCAAGUCGUACAAGUCAAGACCCAUACCUCCAAAAAUGGCAAAUCUCCCAGCGGUACGAUUGACUCCGGAUUACAAACCAUUUAGUUUUGUUGGGAUUGAUUAUUUUGGACCGUUACUCGUAAAAGUGGGAAGACGAACCGAAAAAAGGUGGAUUGCUUUAUUCACUUGUUUAACGAUACGAGCAGUCCAUCUUGAAGUAACUUCUUCUUUGUCGACUGAGUCCUGCAAGAUGGCUAUCAGGCGAUUCAUAGCGCGUCGAGGAACGCCCUUGGUGUUUUACUCGGAUAACGGGACUAAUUUCAAGGGAACAGCGAAUGACCUCGAGAAGGAGAAGGAGAGAAACAAAGAUUUGGCUGAAACGUUCACCAAUACAGAUACCGCUUGGAAGUUCAAUCCGCCAGAUGCUCCCCACAUGGGCGGAGCAUGGGAGCGAAUGGUGCGUUCAGUGAAAACAGCACUAGAAGCAAUGUCACAAUAUCGAAAGCCCAAUGAUGAAGUUUUGUCAACAGUUCUAGCAGAAGCAGAAUCGAUAGUUAACUCUCGACCAUUAACGUUUGUAUCGCUGGACACGGAGGAUCAGGAAGCAAUAACACCCAACCAUUUCUUACUAUUGAAUUCUAAUGGAAUCAAACAGCCGCCAAAAAGUUUUACGGUUGAAAGUUCUGCUCUAAGGAACAGCUUUAAUCAAGCUCAAUGCUUAGUCGAUCACUUUUGGAGACGAUGGGUUAAGGAGUACCUCCCAAUUAUUACUCGCAGAACGAAAUGGUUUCAUGAGGUAAAAGCUUUGGAGGUUGGAGACCUUGUACUGGUCGUUAAUGAAGGCAAAAGAAACGAUUGGCAAAGAGGACGUGUAAUACAAGUCAUGAAAACUACAUCUGGGCAUGUUCGCCGAGCCAAGGUGCAGACAGCAAAGGGUAUUUUGGAUCGCCCAGUGGUCAAGCUAGCAGUAUUGGAUGUGCAGAAUGGUAAAACUGUUCCAAAGAACUAGUGUUACGGGGAGGGGUAUGUUACAUCGAGAGACCCCUCGUUGGGAAGUGCUGCGCAGACUGCACUAUCGACUGGAGAAGAGCGCGAUGCAGAGUGAAAAUUAACCGCCAGUUAGUAGCGACAGGAAGCCAGGAAAGGAAGCCAUUUUGUGAUAACAAUUUGAAUUUGAAAAGAAGUUAUUAAUUGUUAGGCAGUUUAAGUUUAGUGUAGCAGUUUGUGUUUAACUUGAUUGUUAACACAUUAGGAGAAAACUUUGGAAACUGUCUAAACGAAAAUCCAGGAAACAAUAUUGAAGAAGAUUUGUUGAUGUAAAUUUAGAGGAGGAAAACUAGAAUGUAAGUUCAAUAUCAUUUGAUAUUUAUUAUGUAUAUAGUAAUUUUAUAUUUUCUAAAUAUAGCUUUGAAGCAACUCUACCAUCAGAA